CCCUAGUUAGCUCAGUUGGUAGAGCUCUCCGCUGUAAAUGGAAAGGUCUCUGGUUCGAUACCAGGACCAGGCG
rnacentral:tRNA from 1 species